rfam:Monodelphis domestica chromosome 1, whole genome shotgun sequence.
UCAGCUUUGGCGCAGUAGGUAGCACGUCAGUCUUGCAAGCUGAAGAUCCCAAGUUUGAUCCUUGGAAGGAGGG